GGGUUGGUCACCCACCCUUACCCUAGGAGGGCCAGGGGCCGCGCCAUCAGUGCACCCCUGGGUGAAUCCCAGGAGUCACUUCAUGUUGGAGGACUUUCCCAAGCUCAGGCCCAGGUAAGUCCUGGGAAUGCAUGAGUGGGCUGGCCAAGCACGUGUCUGGCCGGCUGUGUGCGGAAAGCAUUUUGAACAUGUGCUAUUUCCAACUGACGGUGGGUUGAUGGGGACUUGCCCCAUCCCCAGUGGAUGAACCACAGAGUGUAGGAGGAGUUUGAAGAAUGGCUCAUGCAGUCACAGAGGCUGGCGUGACUGAGCUGCUCAGGGUGGGAUGGCAGAAGAGCCGACAGAGGGUCAGGUCUGAAGGUGACGGUCUGCUGCAGAGUGGCUUGUGGCUCCAGGGGCCUCAGACUUGGUUCUGUUAGGGCCUUCCAUUAUGCUGUGGCUUGAGGCUGAAACUUGAUCCCCACCGCGAGGGACCAAGAGGGUGGGCUCCGUCCGUAGUGGUGGGAGAGGUGAGGCCCCGGGAGGUGAUCGGGGUUAGGUAGAUCACAGGUGGCCCCGUCACUGAGUCCUGGUGGUCUAAGAGAAGGGAGAGAGACAGCUGACCUCCCUGUCUCUGCCGUGAGAUGCCCGGCCUGCCUCAGGGCGCUGCAGCGGAAGCCUUCCCCAGGUGCCACCCAGAGCCCCUCCAGGACAGGAGCAGAGUCAGGCUGCUCUUCAGAGAGCCCCGUCUGUGGUGGCGAGUUAUCACCACAGAAAAGGCCCUGAGGAGCGCCAGCAGGUGCGGCCCAGCCCCUCACAGAGGCCGAUCUGGACCCAACGCCCACGGAUGACCCAGUGUCGUGGCUCACUGUGAGAGCCCAGUCCAGGGCCUGCCAUCUGGGCCGGUCCCACUGGUCGUCAGCAGGCCCCUUGUUUCAUCGGGUUCUUCUUUUCUGUUUUGUUUUUCUUCCUGGGCCUUAUUUUAUUUUGUAUUUUGAGACAGGGUCUCACAAGUCCACAGGACCUAGGUAGCUGUGGAUGCCCCAUCCUCCCGCCUCAGCACCCCGAGAGCGCACCUUAUUUAACCCCUGCUGGUCUCUGGGGGCAGCCGCGGCCAGCAGGGCUGCCUCGGCCCUCCCUAGGGCACUCGGGGCUUCCUGCUCUGAGGAGCACCAGGGAGUUGCCACACUCACGUGGGCUGUUUCCAAGGGUGGGCUCACCCACAGCAGCACAAAAAUGUGGGAAGCGCAGCACUAACCAGACCUGAGGAGACCUCUGUUCACAGGGUGGGGCCUGGAGCAGGACCUGGAGCCCCUGGGCCCCACCAGGACCUGUGCCCCUGAGGCCGACGGCUCGCUCUCUGUGCACGUCCUGGGAUGACUGAGGGCUUCGUGAGCAUUGAUCUGGGGGUGCCAAUGGAACUGAGCACCUGGGAGAGGGUGUGGACACUGGAGACCUGGUAGGAGGCGAGCCCUGCGGGUGGUGGGCGUGGCGACGGAGAAGGAGGCUCCGACCAGUGAGGCUGAGGCCAAUGUUAGGGGACUUUCAUGAGGACUCCCAGCUGGGGCUCAGCGUCUUCCAUAAAAGAGUUUUCCAAAGUGAGCAAGGGUUGGAUUUGCAUUUUAGUUCUGCGGACUUCAGCUCUGAGCUGCACAGUGUCUUGAAUGACUGACAGCCCGGCCCUGGCCAGGACCGGCUCCUGUUCUCCUCUGAGGGGCUUGCGAGCACCGAACCCUGGACCUCUGCUCAUCACUGCAGCGCCGAGGAGAGGCCACCUCGUUCCCUAGGCCCGGCUUGGAUCUGCAGCCUCUUCAGAUUGUGCACCCAAUGGAGCUCCUGCAGCCCAGAUGUACACCACGAGAGUGUUUUCAACCCAAAUCAGCUGUUGUUUGGAGUCCAAUCAGCACACCCUGUGGGAAAGCAGAGCCGACGGUUCUGUGUGGUGACGUACAGUGUGGCUGGUCAGCCUUGAGGAAGGGCAGCACAAGGUAAGUGGACAGGCCGGGCUGCACCUGAGGCCUUGCAGGCCCACCUCCCACCCACCCCACGCACCUCCAGGGUGGCCUUCAGAGACCCCCGGAACCUGAGACCCAGGUGGGAGGCAGGCCACCUGCUGCCCCACUCCCAGCCUGGACGGGGCGCUCCCCCGGAGCCUGAGGCUCCUCCAGGUCCUGGCAGCUCUGAGGCCGGUGGCUGGGUCAGACUCUGCCAACUUCUACACAUGGCCACCCUCCUGGUCCUGUCUAGCUCACGACACCCUAAUUUGGUCCAGGGUUGGGUUGGCUCCCUCCUGCAGGGGAGCUGGUGCCAGCCUCAGGGCUCAGCCUCAGGCUGAGUCACGAUCACUCUAAGUCAGCUGCAGACCUUCCCUCUGCCAAGGGCUGUUGGAGACAGGAGUUUGUGGCAAAAUCUGGCCACAGCGCGGGUUGGGGCUGGGGCUUCGGGCCAUCUGAGAAAGGUUUGCAGAAGACCAAAGAAGUCCCCAGGCAUCCAGCUCCUUUCUCUUGCCCAGGAGGUCAGAAGCAAGGGGGAGGGGCGCGGAUGAACGCCAGGACUGGGUCUCAGAUGGCACUUUUGCUACAUGGAAUAAUAAAGAUGGUUUAUUUCCAUACACUAAGAAUCUAGGUUUCUUAAAAACGAGUUUUCUGUUUGUUGUCUCAGAAAAGUGUUUUAACUCAUGUCAUUUCCUUCCCCGCAACGUGGGCCGCUGAGAACCUCUGGAGGUGCCCGCUGGGGGACCUGAUAGAAACAGAGCGGGGCUCCUCCAGGUCGUCCAGGCUGCGGCCCCUGCUCGCCUGCCUUCCCCUCCCAGAGCAGCCCAGCCUGAGAGGCCUGCACCUGAGGGGGAACCUGCCGCCACUCCUUGAGGGCUCCUGCCAGGCCGGGGACUCCACUGCUCCAGGGCAGUGCCCAGCUGUGGAGGCCUAGCCCCUACAGGGUUCCGACCCUCACCUCCGGAGAUUAGCAGAGCUUUCCUGGGAUAGAGCCUAGGAAACUGCCUGUCGACAGCCUGCCCCUGGGAAUUCUGACACGGGUUCCCAUCAACUGGAACCCUGACGUGCUGGCCCUGGUCAGCCUGGUCAGGCUCCAGGGUGGCCCAGGUAGGUCGCCCACUGGUCCUUGGCUGGGUGGCAAGGUCUGGAGAUGUGUGUUUGUUCCAGCCUGGGGCUGCCACAGUCCUCUAGUGGGUAGAGGCCUAGGGUGCUCUGGAUGCCCACGGUGCAGAGGACAGCUCCACAACCAAGGGUCAGCUGGCCUCAGGUUUGAGUAGCGCUGGGGAGGACUGGGCUGGUGCAGGCUCACAGUAGUGGGAACACGCUCUACUUCUGAGGCUGCAGCCUGAGGAGCAGAGAGCGUGGGCUGAAGAGAUGGGGCAGUGCCUCCGUACAAGCCAGAGUCCCCUCUCUGCUGGUGGUCACCCCAGGGCAGGCAGGGAAGGCAGAUGGAAAGAGCCUUCAACAGGCCCUGAGAUGCUGAGCAGGGCCCAGACUUCACCCAGCACAAGCUAGGAGAGAGGUACUUGGGGUGAGUUACUAGGAGCGAGGUACUUGGGGUGAGGUGCUUGGGGCGAGGUGCUUGGGGUGAGGUA